rnacentral:lncRNA from 1 species
CAAAGCCGCUGGUCUCUUGUGCGGUGAUGAACAUCACUCCCUUCGUCAGCUCUUUCACCACCACCAUGACCAUCACGACAGGAGCGCCAUGGAAUCCUCCACUCGAGAUCUCGCCGAGAGGACCUUCUUUCAGCUCAAGACGCUUGUUGGUGCCAAGAACAUACAGUUGCCACCGCCACUGCGUUGGGACAACUCCAUCCCUGUGAGUAAAUUCCUUCAUCCGCUGCUAGAGCCUGUGCUUGCGUCCAUGAAUCUGUCCCAGCUCCUGUCCACCAUGCACUUCUCGGGCCAGUCUCCAUUCGCAGCGACGAGCAAGGAUAGCCUGGAAAUGUGCUCCUCCCACGGGGGGAUCAAGCACGAGAUCAAGGCUUGUCACGUCUCGGCAAAGUCCAUCCUGGAUCAGGCCUCUUCGACCCUCCACAAGCUCGAGUUGAAGUAUGUGGCCAACACUCUGGAGUUUGAUCCGAACGAACCAUUCCAGGUGGUAGAGACGAGGGUGGUGGCUGCAGAUGGAUCUCUGGCCUGUCACCCCAUGACUUUCCCAUUCGCCAUCUUCAUGUGCCACACAAUACCGAACAGUCUCGUGUUGGAGGUCGAUCUACUGAGAAGUUCUUCCAAGAACACGAAGCCUGCCAUGGUGAAAGUUCCUGCGGUUUGCCAUAUGGAUACCUCUGAUUUCGCGCCUUCUCAUAUCUCUUUUAAGAUUCUUAACACCAGGCCGGGCGAGGGAGAGGUUUGUCACUGGCUUCCUACUUCUCAUCUCGUGUGGUAUUAAGCUCCAAGCCUGAAUGCUAGAGUGAAUAUAUAGUAAAGUUUGAUCACAAGGAGAAUAAGAAUUAUGUGGCACUCCAUGCCUCAACCGUCUUUUAACGAGCCAGCUUGAGACUGAGGAUCUUCUUCGCAGCGAAAGAAGAAGACGUGAUCGACUCCAAGCUGAGCGUCCACUAGAUCUCUCAUGAGGACCACAAAGGAGGGAGGGCCACAGUAUUCCACAUUUUUGUACGGGGCCGAGCUUGUGGGGCAUCCGUGGAGACCAUAGUUUGGAGCCAGAUUGUUAUCCAAAGCUCCUGGCUAAUAGCAUUAUAUUGUGAUGCUUCCCAAAGAAAGAAUUGGGAUUUGGCUGCUUGGCAUCCUUCCAUACCGGAAUAAAGCUUCAGGAUUUGCCUUCCUUGCCAUACCAGAAGAAAGACUCAGGUUUUGGGAACAUAACAUUUUGAUAAAAAAAACCAUGGCUUGGUUCAUUACAGUGCAAUCUCAGUCCUUGAUUUCUAGCAACAACUUCAAUGUACACCAAGAAAGCCUUAAUAUAUUGUACACGUUUCUCAACUUUGCAGAACAUCAACUUUUUAAAAGCUCAACAGAUUUCAACCUUGCAGGUCUCAACUUUGCAGAUCUCAACUUUUCUUUGCAGGUCUCAACUUUGCAGGUCUCAACUUUGCAGAAUAUUAACUUUUUAAAAGCUCAACAGACGUCAGCCUUGCAGGUCUCAACUUUUCAGAUCUCAACUUUGCAGGUCUCAACUUUGCAGAAUAUUAACUUUUUAAAAGCUCAACAGACGUCAGCCUUGCAGGUCUCUACUUUUCAGAUCUCAACUUUGCAGGUCUCAACUUUGCAGAAUAUUAACGCUGUAAAUUAAGAGAUCCUUGUCUUCUAGCAUAAGCGCAGCUGGUGUCAUUCAAUCAUCCAUGUGAAACAUCACUUUCCAGCAAGUUUUCAAUGACAAUUUUGCAGACAAAGUUUAACAACGACGUCGACUCGUGCUCUACUUGUUUGGUAUAUUUCUACUUUAACUAUAGACUUGGACUCACGGUGUUUGGUUCUCGUAUUAUGUGUAUUUAGAUUGACAACUCUUACAAUCAAAUCAAAACGAUUGUUCACGAGAUUCCAGCUUCCACUCUCAAUCCAUGAGACCCUUACUACCAGGCAAGAAAUCAAAGCUUCCCGCAGGAUGUGACGUGAGUCGUGCAAAGCCGCCGGUCUAUUGUGUGGUGAUGAACAUCACUCCCUUCAUCAGCUCUUUCACCAGCCAGAUUCAGCGAAAGUGAAUCAUUUUUUGUACAUUGGACGCAAACAUUUUUCCACUUUGCACAACUCUGUGGGGAUAAUAGGUUUUUGCACAUUUGAAGGUAAGAAUGCACGCUUGAGAGAGUGAUUUUAAAAUUUGGACAUUCUUCAAACCCUGAGUGCAACCAUUUCUGAAAAAUCCUAAAGAAUAUUCUCCCACUGACUUUCAUUUUGCUCAACACAACCAAAUGAUGACGUCAUUAUUUUGCCUUUUUGAUUCCGGACGAACGUGCAAGGAUAACCUGGCGAUAUCCCAAGUCGCCGGGAUCAAGCACCAGAUCAAGUCUUAUCACAUCUCCACAAAGUCCACUUCGACCCUUCCCAAGCUCGAGUUGGACACUCCAAAGGAACCAUUCUAGGUGGUGGAGAUGAAGGUGGUGGCUGCAUCAUGACUUUCCCAUUCGCCAUCUUCAUGUGGCACACGAUACGGGAGAAGUUCUUCCAAGAAGACGAAGCCUGCCACGGUAAAAGCUCCAGCGGUUUGUCUCAUGAUUUCGAACCUUCUCACAUCUCUUUUAAGAUUCUCAACAAGGUAGAGGUCUGUCACUGGCUUCCUACUUCUCAUCUCGUGUGGUAUUAAGCUUCAAGCCUGCCAGGAAAUGGAAUGCAUGAUCGAAGCAACUACAUAAAAUUACCUUGAGUGGUAAUCCCUUGUGAGUGUGAGAUCGAUCACAAGGAAAAUAAAGACGUCGCUGUUCGUUUAUCUCUUUGGAUAGUUCCAACGCUAAUCGAAAAUAGAUUGUGGAAUAGAGUUCUCUUAGAGAGCGGCUACAAGGCAAACAAGGAUAAAUUUCUUCCGAGGUAUAAAUGCUUGCGCGAACCAGUCGACAUCCCGUAACAGAAUUAGAUACGAGAUUUGUCCCAAAACUCACUGACCUUUGUUUCUGUCAAAGUUUCAUUUCACUUAUUUUAGAUACUUGUUACUACGUGUUUGAUUUCUUCACCUGUGGAAAGAAAAAAAGAUCAAACAAAGAGAAAGAAGCGAACAUUCAGUACCUUCUUCAGGUAUAACUUAUGGAACUUGAGCGCUUUUUGGCACGCUCGGUAUGCGUCUAUCUUGCCGCUCAUAUCGUUCAGAGCCUGCGACGUAUAUUGUUACCAGGGAAAUUGAGGAAAAAAGCAAAAGGAUUAAACUGUUCCUCACCCUCACGACUUCGUCCAGGCCUUGAAUUCUCUUUAUAAACUUGGAUCGUAGCAGCACCAAGAUCCCGGCUACAAAGAAAACUGCCAGGGACGGAUGCUCGUUGAGGGCUCUUGGCGAUCCAUACUUAAUGUUCCGCUUUGCAAAUCUACCUCCAGCUCUAUAGUCCGGCUGUACGUUGUCAAUGUGACCAUCCGGGGCCUCCAUGUAGAGAAUUUGAAGGUCGGGAUGGUACUCGAAAGCCCACAUCAUCUACAAAGAAAGAAAAGCUCACGUGGACGAAAGAACAUAAACAUUUCACAACGGUUGGACUUACCUCCCAGAGGCUGAGCGUAUCAACGAACGAAAACUCCCGGCGAAAGUUAACCAUGAGCAUUCGAAACGCAAAAAUAUAGUUGCUCCCUCCAAGUGCAUCUACAAAAAAAGGUCGGCAAACACCUUCAUCUUCGAAAUCCUCACCUAGAGUUCUAUGAAGCUUUGGAUCGAUUACUCGCAUGGCAGCUGCGAGGAAGGAGAGCUCCUUCUGAACCCCCAUCAUCUUAUUCGUGCACCUGAAAUUUUCCCGCUUGCCAACAUCAAACGUGAUAAACUUCAAUGAACGGUACUAAGCGAUAUAAAAUCUUGAGAAGCGCUUUGCAGAAAACGUACCACUCGACGCAUCAGGCACUUGAAGCACCAAAAGGCGUCAGCCUCGUCCGCGAAAAGGAGCACCAUCGGCGAGCAAAGAUCGCUCAUACCUUGACAGUAGCCAACCUCCUCGUCGAUCCAAGCGUAUACUGCCAGGAUGUCCCAGAGCUUUCCCAAGUUCUUGGGAUCCUCGUAAAACUCUAAAACUCUAUCCGUGCGAACUACAUCCAGUCCUGCAAAGCGAAAGUGAGCUCUCUCUCUAGCACGCGAAACAGAAAAAUAAUCAUACCAAUCUGGUGGAGAAGAGCUUUCCACUGGACAAUCUUUGCCCUCGGCGCUGGAUCCAGCACGGCUUUUCAAUAAAUUCUGCUAAUACUUGGACUGAAAGUGAAAAGCCCGAAGCAAACAAAGAAGUAACCACCUGGAUUAUUCUCCUCCAUGGAAACUCCGUCGGCAUUCAUUCGCGGCGAUAUCACAACUUCACCACUUCCAACGGCCGCAUCCAUUCUUUUACACUCGGCCUUGAGCUUCAAAUAUUUGUCACUGUAAAAACCAACGCGGUUUCUCUCGCAGAUCAAAUCCAAUCGAUAAAACAGGCCAAAGUAUCUACCGUCGCGAUUGACGAAGCUCUUCCCUUUCGGCAGCAUUGCUGCUGGGGGAGUAAACACCCAAAAGAAACUCCCAGACGUGAGCGCGAAUCUCCGACGCAACGCCCUACAGGAAAGAAGAAGAGAUUUCGCUACUGGAAAUGCAGCACAAGAUUUACCCCUCUUUCGAUGUGCCGAAGAACUCGCUUCACAUUGAGCCGCCCUUGCGCGUCAAACGCAGCCCGCCAUUUCUCCGCCGAGAGCUUCCUCCGCCUCCGCCUCUAAAUCGGUCAAACCACAGCUCAGAUCGACACAAAUCCAGCCGAGAAUCCGUCACAAACCGGCGCGGAGCUCGUCGCCACAUCCUGACACUCGCUCCGGACCCUGUAAAUCUCGGAAUCAUCCUCCAUAGAGAAGCCUUGCCUCUGCUCGCUCGUGCAGGCCAGCAGCGGCAUCAUGGAUCGCACAGAUCAACAGCCCGGCGCCUCCGCAUUGUCGGACACUCUCUAUAGAACCCUAAACUUAAGUAAUCGUACGAAUAUGCUCCAUUCCUUGCUCCGGUUCGAAUCGCGUAGCUAACGUUUAAGUUUUAUUCCACAUUGUAACUAUGUUGCCAUGGACAAAGCCCAGUGCGUGGAGCUCAUUCGAUCGUGCAAAAGCCUUCCAAUGGCCCAGGAGAUCCACAAACGCAUCCAGGCGAAUCCACCACUCUCACCACACGAGAGCCUCUUUGUCUCCAAUAAUCUCCUCGCACUGUUUAACCAGUUUGGCAGCCUCGUAAAUGCCCGAAGCGUCUUUGAUCGCAUCGAGAACAAGGAUGCUUUCUCGCUGGUUCUUAUGCUCUGCGGCUACUCUCGCAGCGGGCAAGUCUCCAAUGCAAAAGCCAUCUUUGAUUCCAUGCCCGAAAAGAAUCUUACAAGCUGGAACGCUAUGGUGGCAGCAUAUGCCAAGAAUGGGUAUAUGGACGAGGCAGAACUACUGUUUCAAGAGAUGCCAUUUCAUGAUGCCGUGUCAUGCAAUACGCUCGUAGCUGCACACUCGCAAAGAGGUCAUUUGGAUACUGCGAAGGGUAUCUUUGAUGACAUGCUUUUUAAAACUCUACCAUGCUGGAAUGCCAUGCUAUCUGCAUAUGCCACAGGCUGGCAUCUUGUACAAGCAAGACAGACAUUUCACUCGAUGCCUGCUCGAAAUCUGAUCUAUUGGACAUCAUUCUUAAACGCACUAAUCAUGGAGGAAGAUCUUCAAAUGACUAGAAAGUGUUUUAGCGAAAUGCCCUGCUGGAAUCUGUUUGCCUGUAACUCAGUACUUUCCGCAUAUGCCCGAAAGGGGAAUCUUCUCGAAGCCAUGCUAACCUUUGACACAAUGCUCGAGAGGGAUAUAAUCACUUACACAAACAUGCUGGAAGCUUUCAUCCACAACGGUUGCCUCUUUGAAGCCAGCAAUUUCUUCUCGCGGAUGCCACAGCGGGAUCUUGUGGCCUACACCGUAAUGCAAUCGGCCUAUGCUUAAAACGGCGAGCUCGAGAGAGCCGAGACCAUCUUCAACUCCAUGCCGCAGCGUGAUCUCGUCGCUUGGAACGCCAUGAUCGGGGCUUACUCCCAACACGGCCGAGUCGAGCAAGCAAAGUUUCUCUUUGAUUCCAUGGCCGAGAGAAACUUGGUCUCCUGGACCUCAAUGCUCACGCCUUACACAAUAAGUGGCUACUUCUCGCAAGCAAAGCUCGUCUUUCUCGACAUGUCCGAGCAAAACUCCGUCUCGUGGAAUGCCAUCCUUUGCAUGUAUGCUCAGCACGGCCAUUUGAGCUCUGCAAGGAAGAUUUUCGAUGCCAUGCCCGAGCAAGGAGUGGUAUCAUGGAGCGCCAUGCUCGCUGCCCACGUAAGAAACUUGUCCUCUUCUCGUGCUCUCGAGCUCUUUGACGAGAUGAAAGCUUUGCAUUGUCCCGACGAAGCUAGCUUCUUCUCAGCUAUGGUUUCGUUUGGGCAGCAAGGCUGCAUCUCCAGAGCCAAGUCUUGCUUUUGUUCCAUGGUGGCCGACUAUGAAGUGGCGCCAUCAAAGCAGCACUACUCUUGCAUGGUGGAUUUGCUCGUUCGAUCUGGGAGAAGUUUGGAGGCGUGUUUGCGAUGCCUUUUGAGCCCAGUAACUUGGAAUGGUCGUGCUUGCUGCGUGAAAGAAACUCCAGCUCGAUGUUAACCACCAGAGGCAAGCAUGCUUUAAGAUCAAGUUCCUCGGAUGGAGCGGUUUACGUGCUGCUUGCCAAUGCAUUAACUUGAAAGCUAAUAUGAAACCUGUACAUUAAAAAGAUGGCUCAUUUCAAGGGCUUUAUUUCACAAUGGCACUUGAGUAAGUUUUGGUUUUGCUGUUGUGCCUCUAUGUCUCCUUCAGUUUGGGUUGCCACACGGAAGAGGGCUGUGGUCGUUCUACGAGGCUGAUGACCCCAAUGCUUCUCCGCUUGCUCUUGCUCAAUGGAGGUUUUUGUUCAAGAUAGACGCAUCUAUACUAGUAAUACUAGCUUUGUACAAAAAGAUGCAAAGAAGCUAGUUAUUAAUAUUAGAGCUUGCUUCAUUGUUUCAAAAAGUUGAGCGUCCACUAGAUCUCUACCACAAAGGAGGGUCAUCCCAGCGAAGUGGUGGCAACGAACAAAGUCUAGGAAUGCUGGCCCCUCCAAUCCAUCCGUGGACACCAAAGCUUAAGCUUUUGCUCCUAUACCAAAAGAAAGAAUCGGGAUUUGGCUGCUCAUACCAGAACAGAGCAUUGGGACUGGCUUCCGUGCCAAACCAUACAUUUGAGAACAUAACCUUGGUUCAUUAUAGUCGAUGUUCUAACUUGUCUGAAUGAUAUAUGUACUUCAGGCAUCUACAGCACUUCAAAUGCUCAAGGACAAAGGGGCCAUACUGCAAUCUCAGUCCUUGAUUUCUAGCAACAAGGUAAUGUACGCAUAGAAAAACGAAUACACACCUUUUGCUCUUGUACCACAAUGGAGCCUUUCUCGCACCACAGCCCUCGCCUUCGCUCACCUUAAACCCAUAUUUCAAUUACCACUACCCACCCUGCAGGCUUGAGAUCGGGGCUAUUAUUAUAGAUUACUAUUUUAUUAAAUUUUCUUAAAUAUCAAGAAUGUAUAAUAAAAGAUCCCUCUUGCUAUAUAAAACAUCAGUUCAAUGAGACAAAGUUUAAGAAAUGUCACUCUUAAACUUUGUUUUUAAUCAGUGUUUAAUGUUAAUUUUAUUUAUUAAAAAGGCAACCCCUCUCUCCCAUUGUUGCCAUCUUUUUGGAUUUUCAUAAAACCACUACGAGGAGUUAGGGGCUUGGCAUUUAGCAAGCCAAGUCAAAAGGAGCCAAAUUUCCUCUGUCUUUUAAUAGAUGCCCCUUUUACACCCCAAGCAUUUGUGGCUAAAUGCACUUUAUGGCUAAGCUGAAUGCCAUUUAGGGCCUAAUGGCACCGGUGGGCAUUUUAGGCCCAGGUGGCGUGCGCUAGAGCCCCGGCUAUUUGGCCCCCAACGGCACCCGUCUGUUCCGCUAUUGGCCACCAAGCCUAAUUAAAAAUUAAGAAAAAGUUCAUAGUGUAUUUUCCAUUUGACAGAAUAUUCGGUCAACAGUGUUGACUUGCACUACACUUUUUACAUACAAAAUCCAUAUUAUCCUUUAAGUUAAAAGGCUCCACAUUGACAAAUCUGUAACAACCUCAAUGGAGGAGAACUCUCACAAGGGAGACACCAUUCCCCAUCAUUUCUCCUAAUACACAAUGGUUAGCAUUUUAACAUUAAUGUCCAAUAGUAUCUCAAUCUAAACAAGUCAUUAGGUGCUACUUACAUAUGCUAAAUAGUAUAUUAGAAUAUAUAUUUAAAGAUAAACCAUUAUGAUAUAUCAGAAACUAAAUUGCAUAAAAAAUAAUAAAAUGAAAGCAAACCACGUUCACAACAAAAUAUUAAUACUAAUGCCUCUUUUUGUUAUUUUAAAAUUGUGCUAGAGUUUAUGGUUCACUUGCUCCUAAGAAAAAUUUUACUGUCUACAUGAAGAUGUCUACAUAUUUAUCUAUGAAGAAUGAGAUUAGAAAUAGAUAGAAAUGUUUCCUUGUGAGAUUAUAGGGUAUUAUUUGAAUGCUUACAAAUGAUUCUGUUUAUAACUUUUCAAGAAAACCAAUCAAUGACAGGGUAACAUGGUUAAUUUAAACUGAAUUAUGUUUAAAGGUUAGAAGGACAUUUUUUUCUGAUUUGAAAGGGUUUUAUUUUUUUUAUUGUAUUUUAUUAUCUUAAUACAUUACAGCUUUGCAAAAUAUCAACGCUGUAUAGUAAGAGAUCUUUGUCUCCUAGCAUAAAGGAUCUUCUUAGUCAAACGUCACUUUCGAGGAAGGAUUGGGGAUUUGCUUGCUUCGCUUCCUUGUUAUACAAGAGGAUGGACUCGGGAUUUGCCUGCUUCACUUCCUCGUUAUACAAGAGGAUGGACUCGGGAUUUCCCUGCUUCGCUUCCUCGUUAUACAAGAGGAUGGACUCGGGAUUUGCCUGCUUCGCUUCCUCGUGAUACAAGAGGAUGGACUCGGGAUUUGCCUGCUUCGCUUCCUUGUGAUACAAGAGGAUGGACUCGGGAUUUGCCGGCUUCGCUUCCUUGUCAUACAAGAGGAUGGACUCGGGAUUUGCCUGCUUCGCUUCCUUGUCAUACAAGAGGAUGGACUCGGGAUUUGCCUGCUUCGCUUCCUUGUCAUACAAGAGGAUGGACUCGGGAUUUGCCUGCUUUGCUUCAUUGGUGUACAUUACCUCUCCAGGCACUUGCUUUUCAUUGUCCUUGAGUGUACGUAGUGCUGCAGCUGCCUGAAGUACAUAUAUCAUUCAGAAAACUUAGAAGCAGAGAUUGAUCUCACCGUGAAAAACAAGAAGACUGUAAUGAGCCACGCCAUGGUUUCUAUCAAAAUGUGGUGUUCUCAGAAGAAAAACUUAGCAGCGCGCUCACGGGAAGAGGCAACUAAGGCGGCGGCAGUGGUGGAGAAGGAGGAGCUGUUCCUGGAGCCAGACUCGAUUCCAUGUCCUUUUAUAGUAAAGCUCUAAUUCUUAUUAUCUUAAUACAUUAGAGCUUUGCAAAAUAUCAACGCUGUAUAGAAAGAGAUCCUUGUCUUCUAGCAUAAAGGAUCCAGCAAGUUGUCAAUGAAAAUUUAAAUUCGUCCUUAUCUUUUAUAUAUAGAAAAAUACUGAACAAGUGGAAACAUCACACCAGAGUUCAUAUUAUAAUUAUAAACUUUGCAAUUCCAGAACCCAUGGCAGACACUUUGUUGGUUCUCAUGUUCCUGGCAUUAUGUGUGGUAAGCUUCACGAAUUUCAUGACUCUUUCGAAUCAAAUCCAACUGAUUGUGCUCUUCGCCAGGGAUACUUGGAGGGAUUCCAACUUCCACGCUCCAUUCGUGAGAGGCUAUCGCCCCUUGACGACGCUUCAGCGCUGCACAUCAAGCAGGAACUCCAAGCUUCCAGCAGGAUAUCACACGAGUCGUGCAAAGCCGCUGGUCUCUUGUGCGGUGAUGAACAUCACUCCCUUCGUCAGCUCUUUCACCACCACCAUGACCAUCACGACAGGAGCGCCAUGGAAUCCUCCACUCGAGAUCUCGCCCAGAGGACCUUCUUUCAGCUCAAGACGCUUGUUGGUGCCAAGAACAUACAGUUGCCACCGCCACUGCGCUGGGACAACUCCAUCCCUGUGAGUAAAUUCCUUCAUCCGCUGCUAGAGCCUGUGCUUGCGUCC